rnacentral:rRNA from 1 species
UGUCGUCAGCUCGUGUCGUGAGGUGUUGGGUUAAGUCCGUAACGAGCGCAACCCUUGUCCUUAGUUACCAGCACGUUAUGGUGGGCACUCUAAGGAGACUGCCGGUGACAAACCGGAGGAAGGUGGGGAUGACGUCAAGUCAUCAUGGCCCUUACGGCCUGGGCUACACACGUGCUACAAUGGUCGGUACAAAGGGUUGCCAAGCCGCGAGGUGGAGCUAAUCCCAUAAAACCGAUCGUAGUCCGGAUCGCAGUCUGCAACUCGACUGCGUGAAGUCGGAAUCGCUAGUAAUCGUGAAUCAGAAUGUCACGGUGAAUACGUUCCCGGGCCUU